UACGUAGGGGGCAAGCGUUGUCCGGAAUCAUUGGGCGUAAAGCGCGUGUAGGCGGCCUGGUAAGUCCGUUCUGAAAGCCCGGGGCUCAACCCCGGGAGGCGGAUGGAUACUGUCAGGCUCGAGUCCGGAAGAGGCAAGUGGAAUUCCCGGUGUAGCGGUGAAAUGCGCAGAUAUCGGGAGGAACACCAAUGGCGAAGGCAGCUUGCUGGGACGGUA
rnacentral:rRNA from 1 species